rnacentral:rRNA from 1 species
UACGAAGGGGGCUAGCGUUGCUCGGAAUGACUGGGCGUAAAGGGCGCGUAGGCGGUUUGUACAGUCAGGUGUGAAAUUCCCGGGCUCAACCUGGGGGCUGCACUUGAUACGUAUGGACUGGAGUGGGGAAGAGGGUCGUGGAAUUCCCAGUGUAGAGGUGAAAUUCGUAGAUAUUCGCAAGAACACCAGUGGCGAAGGCGGCCAACUGGUCCGGUUCUGACGCUGAGGCGCGAAAGCGUGGGGAGCAAACAGG